CUCUCUCUCUCGUUGUGGCUGACGAUUGGAUCUAUUUUAGAGUAGGGUGAUCAACUUGGAGCAUCUUCUUACAAUGAGAACCAUGCCUUGUAUUUGAAUCAUAUCUAUCAUGUAGUUUGGGUUUAACAAGUUCUGCAGCUUAGUCGCGUCUAACUCACUUUAAAAAACUUGACACAAGACAACACAUAAAGAAGAUAUUGACAUAACG
rnacentral:lncRNA from 1 species